CAGGUCAGCUGUCCGGAACUCCCCGUGUGCACUGACGUCUGCGUCCUCCUGUCUUCCACCCUGUCCCUGCUGUGGGGCCUAGAGGAGCGGGCGGCGGCACUGCAAGUCUGUGAGAGGAGUGUGGCGCCGCAAAUCUGUGAGAGGAGUGUGCCACCGCAAGUCUGUGAGAUGAGUGUGCCGCCGCAAGUCUGUGAGAGGACUGUGAAGGAGACAGAUUGUAGACAUGCAAAUGUUGGGGGCUCAAACAACGCAAAUGUGCUGACAGGGGGUACCCAGGUGAAAAAUGAUUGACAGCCACUGGUCUAAAGCAACUGUCCUCUGAGCAAUUAAUUAAUUCAGCACCGCACAGGUAACUGUAAUACCACACGAGGGAGUUCAGGAUCAGAGCAUCUUACACCAGGGCGGAGUAUACAUAUUAGAGGACCUGCUUCAUAUCUACCAGUGGGAAGUGCUGAUGAAAACUCAUAAAUGAAAUAUGUUGGCCGCCUGCCCAGCAAGGAAAUAUAAAGGAAUGAAUAAUGUUUCUAUCUCAAUCACAGUCAUUGCUUUUAAUAUUCCUAAUUACUUGAAAAAGCUGCGUAUUCAGUACAGGAGAAAAAGCCUUUUCUUCUACGAUCCCUUUUUCACUUUGUACUCCAGGGAUCGGGAGAAUUAGCCAGCGGUGUUCCCAUCUGUCUUAUCCUUAUGGGGAGGUUAAUGGAAAACAAAGACAAUAGAUGCUCUUUGAACUCUCUUCUUAAUUUGGCAAUAAGGCCUGCAUGUAAACAUUGUUAUAAACACUUCAGUGUCCAGACACGGUCAGUUGCGGUGUCCUGCAAUAAAGUGUUACAUAUCGACUUUACUUCAUGUUUAGAUCAUGCACAACCACCUCAUGCUAAUGGAACACUGACUGCUGUUACCAACUGUCCUACAAGUUCUCCCAAGUUCUAGCAUUCAACCCUGAUCGGUUAUCCAAAAAAAACAACAACCUAUUAAUUAAAGCUAAAUGACAACUGAGUUUUAA